GAUGAACGCUAGCUACAGGCUUAACACAUGCAAGUCGAGGGGAAACGAUGAGAGAGCUUGCUCUCUUAGUCGUCGACCGGCGCACGGGUGAGUAACGCGUAUCCAACCUGCCUCUGACCAAGGGAUAACCCGUCGAAAGUCGGACUAAUACCUUAUGCAGUCGUCGGAAGUCAUCUGAUGACGACGAAAGAUUUCAUCGGUGAGAGAUGGGGAUGCGUCUGAUUAGCUUGUUGGCGGGGUAACGGCCCACCAGGGCGACGAUCAGUAGGGGUUCUGAGAGGAAGGUCCCCCACAUUGGAACUGAGACACGGUCCAAACUCCUACGGGAGGCAGCAGUGAGGAAUAUUGGUCAAUGGGCGUAAGCCUGAACCAGCCAAGUAGCGUGCAGGAUGACGGCCCUAUGGGUUGUAAACUGCUUUUAUGCGGGGAUAAAGUGAGGGACGUGUCCUUCAUUGCAGGUACCGUAUGAAAAAGGACCGGCUAAUUCCGUG
rnacentral:rRNA from 1 species